AACGAACGCUGGCGGCAUGCCUAACACAUGCAAGUCGAACGAGACCUUCGGCUCUACUGGCGCACGGGUGCGUAACGCGUGGGAACCUGCCCUUAGGUUCGGAAUAACUCCCCGUAAGGGGUGCUAAUACCGGAUAAUGUCUUCGGACCAAAGAUUUUUCGCCUUUGGUUGGGCCCGCGUUGGAUUAGAUAGUUGGUAGGGUAAAAGCCUACAAAGGCGACGAUCCAUAGCUGGUCUGAGAGGAUGAUCAGCCACAAUGGGAGUGAGACACGGCCCAGACUCCGAGGGGAGGCAGCAGGGGGGAAUAGUGAACAAUGGGCGAAAGCCGGAUCCAGCAAGGCCGCGAAAGUGAGGAAGGCCUGAGGGAAGUAAAGCGCUUUUACACGGGAAGAUAAUGACAGUACCGGGAGAAUAAGCACCGGCUAACUCCGUG
rnacentral:rRNA from 1 species